GGAGGCUGCUGCAUCUCCAGAGUGCAGCAAUAAUAGAGAUGGCUCAGGGCUCAUCUCCCAUUCCAGAAAGUACCGCUCGGGCUGACAUCACCCCUCCUGGCGAUGUUGCCUUGGACGAAAGAGUGGAAGGACCCUCUGCCUCUUCCCCUUUCUCUCACC